rnacentral:lncRNA from 1 species
GUGGCUCUCAUUUUGAAAGGAGGCAACAGAGUCCUUAAUUUGUCCAAAAUAUAACACUUUGUAAUAGCCUAUCUAAAUGCAAUAUCUAUGAUCUUAAAUGUUGCAAUUCAAAUAGAUUUGAUUUUUUUAGUAAACUAUUUCUUUUGACAAUCUCUGCAACUUCUUAACUAUAAAACAUCGCCAGUUUUUAGCUGUUUUCCAAUUAAAC